GUUUCAUUUCGUAUAUAAAAAAAGCUUUGAGAGAAGAUCAACCACAGUUAUCAUAGUGAAGGUGAGAUAAUCUAUUCAUUUAACCACCGUCUGAAGUUAAUUUCUGAUUUGUCGCCAUGAACAAAGUACUUCUCACAGUUCUGGUGUUCGUGCUAGUUGCUGGUGUGUUUGUUGAUCAAGGUGAAGCCCUGCUUAGAGCCGGUAGAGAUCGGAUCGAGAAAAUGCAACGAGAUGAGUCAGCGGCAAUGGAGACAGCUCAGGAAGAAUUACGAGGUGACGCUUAUUGCUACACUGCAGAUGGAGUACAAAGGAAGAAAAAAUGGCAACGAAAUUAAUUGAUCAUCUGUAACUCAUCGAUAGCAAAUAAUGCCCAUGACAACAAAGAAAGCUCUAAACUUGUAUUAACAACGCACUUCAGCUCUGAAUAAAAAUUGCAAUUUAUGGUA